GUUAGUUGAGAGUUUAUAGGAGAAGUUGGUUAGCCAUAGGGCUAUUUAUAAGCCACAUGGCAGCAGGGAAUAAGGCAAGCAAGAUUAUUAUUUCCUAAUCUCUCUCUCUCUAAACAAGCCGACGGUUGAGGGGAAAAACCUCACCGGCGACGACGGACCGUGGCUACGAACUCCGUAGUCAGGGGCCAGCUACCCUAGGUCGGGAGGUCCUUGACAGUUUUCAUAUUUUAUAUUGCACUUCUAUGGAUCUUUAAUAUGUAUUUCGUUGAAACUUUAAUUAAGUUAUAUCAGCUCUUGUUGCAUUUUUUACCUUAUGACUCUAAAUUUUGGCUUUCAACAUUUGAUCUUAUUAGUUGUUGCAAGUUUUUAUCCAUGUGUUAAGUUGAAACAGAUUCUAGGUCCUAUUAUUAACAGGUCCUAUUAUUAACCUUGGGGAUUUGAUACGAUAAUUACUUCAUUAGUGGAAAUGACUAUAUAUAAAGAGCCUCAUAGGCCAUACAUGCUUAUAUUAUAUGGGCAUUCAUAUACUUAACACUCCCUUCAAACUCAAGGUGGAAGUAUAGGAUCUAAAGUAUUGAGCUUGAUCAAAUGAAGCCAAUGUUGCUCUCGAGUCUGCUUUAAUAAAGAAAUCAGCCAACGACACCUCAGAAGGCACAUAUUGAAGAGCAAUGGUUUUUUUAUGACAAUGAGAAAGUGAAGAAAGCAUUGGCACCAAUAUGUUUGGUAAGUGCAUGCUUCAUAGGAUCAUUGAUUGUGUUGUCACAGGGAAGUGGUGUGACAACAUCACAAGAAAUCCCAAAAUCAACCAACAACCAUCGAAGCCAUACAAUCUCUAAAGUAGUAGUGGCAAGUGCUCAAUGUACUGCCUCUGUGCUAGAGCGAGAUACAACUUCCUGCAUCUUGGACUCCCAUGCAAUAGGAGAAGAGCCAAGAAGAAUACAAUAUCCUGUGAUGGAAUGACUGGUUACUCACCCAAGUGGAGUACGAGUAAGCAUGGAGCUGAAGUGAACUAUUAUAGCAUAAACAUCGAUAUGAUGUCCCCCAUAAAUAUCGUAGCACAUGUAGUAAAUGUCCAAAGUGAACGGAAGUAGGAACACAUACAAAAUGGCUCAAAAUAUGGACUCCAUGAGCAAAUGUCGGGUUUGGUAAUGGAAUAACAGUGAGAUAAAACAAGGCUUCCCAUAAUGUAUCUAUAUCUUGAGGGAACCAUAAGAGGUGUAUCAUCACUAGGUCGAAGUUGUGGGUGAAGAUCCAUGGGUGUGGCAGCUAUUUGAUUGUCAGUGAUACCGAAACGAGCAAUAAGAUCAUGUAUGUACUUGGUCUAAGAAAGAUAGUAUCUAUGGGCAUCCUCUUUAACCUCAAUUCCUAAGAAAUAGCUGAGGAAACCUAAAUUAGACAUUUGAAAUUGCUUACCAAACUUCUACUUCACAAGAGAAAUGUGUUCCACAUCAUCACCCAUAAUCAACAUAUAGAAGAAGCAAAGUACGACCACGUGGUGAGAUGAAUUUUUUUCUCGAAAAACAUAGGAGAGCUGCGUUUCAUUCCA